AGUGAACGCUGGCGGUAGGCCUAACCCAUGCAAGUCGAACGGCAGCGCAGUAAGAGCUUGCUCUUACGGGUGGCGAGUGGCGGACGGGUGAGGAAUACAUCGGAAUCUACUUUUUCGUGGGGGAUAACGUAGGGAAACUUACGCUAAUACCGCAUACGACCUACGGGUGAAAGCAGGGGAUCUUCGGACCUUGCGCGAUUGAAUGAGCCGAUGUCGGAUUAGCUAGUUGGCGGGGUAAAGGCCCACCAAGGCGACGAUCCGUAGCUGGUCUGAGAGGAUGAUCAGCCACACUGGAACUGAGACACGGUCCAGACUCCUACGGGAGGCAGCAGUGGGGAAUAUUGGACAAUGGGCGCAAGCCUGAUCCAGCCAUACCGCGUGGGUGAAGAAGGCCUUCGGGUUGUAAAGCCCUUUUGUUGGGAAAGAAAAGCAGCAGGUUAAUACCCCGCUGUUCUGACGGUACCCAAAGAAUAAGCACCGGCUAACUUCGUG
rnacentral:rRNA from 1 species